rnacentral:rRNA from 1 species
UACGAAGGGGGCUAGCGUUGCUCGGAAUUACUGGGCGUAAAGCGCACGUAGGCGGCUUUCUAAGUCGGGGGUGAAAUCCUGGAGCUCAACUCCAGAACUGCCUUCGAUACUGGAAAGCUCGAGUCCGGGAGAGGUGAGUGGAACUGCGAGUGUAGAGGUGAAAUUCGUAGAUAUCCGCAAGAACACCAGUGGCGAAGGCGGCUCACUGGCCCGGUACUGACGCUGAGGUGCGAAAGCUAGGGGAGCGAACGGG